rnacentral:rRNA from 1 species
AGGGAAAGAGGGAGGGAGGAAGAACACAUGUAAGUCGAACGGCAGCACAGUAAGAGCUUGUUCUUAAGGGUGGAGAGUGGAGGAUGGGUGAGGCAUAGAUAGGAAUUUACUUUUUAGUGGGGGAUAAAGUAGGGAAACUUACGCUAAUACCGCAUACGACCUACGGGUGAAAGCAGGGGAUCUUCACACCUUUCGCGACUGAAUGAGCCGAUGCCGGAUUAGCUAGUUGGCUGGGUAAAGACCCACCAAGGAGAGGAGUCGUAGCUGGUCUGAGAGGAUGAUCGGCCACACUGGAACUGAGACACGGUCCAGACUCCUACGGGAGGCAGCAGUGGGGAAUAUUGGACAAUGGGCGAAAGCCUGAUCCAGCCAUACCGCGUGGGUGAAGAAGGCCUUCGGGUUGUAAAGCCCUUUUAUUAAGAAAGAAAAGCAGCAGGUUAAUACCCCGCUGUUCUGACGGUACCCAAAGAAUAAGCACCGGCUCCCUUCGUU